GAUGAACGCUGGCGGCGUGCCUAAUACAUGCAAGUCGAGCGAACAGACGAGGAGCUUGCUCCUCUGACGUUAGCGGCGGACGGGUGAGUAACACGUGGAUAACCUACCUAUAAGACUGGGAUAACUUCGGGAAACCGGAGCUAAUACCGGAUAAUAUUUUGAACCGCAUGGUUCAAUAGUGAAAGACGGUUUUGCUGUCACUUAUAGAUGGAUCCGCCCGGCAUUAGCUAGUUGGUAAGGUAACGGCUUACCAAGGCAACGAUGCGUAGCCGACCUGAGAGGGUGAUCGGCCACACUGGAACUGAGACACGGUCCAGACUCCUACGGGAGGCAGCAGUAGGGAAUCUUCCGCAAUGGGCGAAAGCUUGACGGAGCAACGCCGCGUGAGUGAUGAAGGUCUUCGGAUCGUAAAACUCUGUUAUUAGGGAAGAACAAAUGUGUAAGUAACUAUGCACGUCUUGACGGUACCUAAUCAGAAAGCCACGGCUAACUACGUG
rnacentral:rRNA from 1 species